GUGGGAUCGCUGACCGCGCGGCUGCUCCGCUCUCCCCGCUCCAAACGCCGAUCUGGGCACCCGCCACCAGCAUGGACGCUCGCCGCGUGCCGCAGAAAGAUCUCAGAGUAAAGAAGAACUUAAAGAAAUUCAGAUAUGUGAAGUUGAUUUCCAUGGAAACCUCGUCAUCCUCUGAUGACAGUUGUGACAGCUUUGCUUCUGAUAAUUUUGCAAACACGAGGCUGCAGUCAGUUCGGGAAGGCUGUAGGACCCGCAGCCAGUGCAGGCACUCUGGACCUCUCAGGGUGGCGAUGAAGUUUCCAGCACGAAGUACCAGGGGAGCAACCAACAAAAAAGCAGAGUCCCCCCAGCCCUCAGAGAAUUCUGUGACUGAUUCCAACUCCGAUUCAGAAGAUGAAAGUGGCAUGAAUUUUUUGGAGAAAAGGGCUUUAAAUAUAAAGCAAAACAAAGCAAUGCUUGCAAAACUCAUGUCUGAAUUAGAAAGCUUCCCUGGCUCGUUCCGUGGAAGACAUCCCCUCCCAGGCUCCGACUCAGUAAGUACCAGUCCUUGUUUAUAUAUAGUAGUGUUUUGGGCACACCUAAGGUAGAUCUGUGUUGUAUUUAAAAAUCUAAUUUCUUUAUUUGUGUGGCCUUCUAGACAAACGAAGGGGACCUAGAGGAAACCCCCUGACAGAUCUCUGGAUGAUCCUCCUUGAAUCCUGGGCAGUUUGGUCUCUCCUUGCUGUGCUCCUGUGGCACUAAACUCCUUUUGAUUGGUUAUUUCUUUCCUUCCCAGCUAGACUAAGCCCCUCAUGGGCAGGUAAUGAAGACUGAAAACUUUUUUCUGUUCUCCAGUGUGAGCACAUUCCUCCUACAUGGUAGAUGUGCAAUAGAUGUUUUUAAAAUUGGAGAAUGAAAAUAAAAGAAGAAAAUCACAAUUUCUUAUCAAGUCAUAGCUUGGUAUCAUAUACAGUUGCAUUCUGAUGAAUUAAGCUGGUACAACUCAGGGAGAUUUGGUGUGUCUGCUGUGAUAGAAAAGAUUUCUUUUUCCUGCCUUUCCCUGAGGAAAGGAAAGAUAGAGGGAAACCCUACAGAUACCCCUCUAUUUUGCAGUGUAGAAACUGAAUGUGUUUCUACAGGGUCAAGAGACAUCAGAGAAAAUAUUUUUUUUUAGAACAGAAGAUCAUUUCUUACAUCUUCAUUAAGUGAAAGAAUAAAUAGCUCAUCUCUCAAGUUGAAAGAAACUGGGCUUGGUAUUACAAAAGCAAAAUUAAGAUGGCCAUAUAGGUUUUAGGCUCAUUUUGCCAUGCAUUAUGCAAAGGACAAAAAAAAAGAAAAAAUAGAGUUCUCUUUACUUAAAACAUCCUUAAGGAGAAGCUAUGAAUUCCCCAAAGUACUACUUCUCUUUGUUAAGGAAUAAAUGGAUUCCCUUGUGCGUGCUUUGUUUAGCAAUCAAGGAGACCGCGAAGGCGUACAUUCCCAGGUGUUGCUUCCAGGAGAAACCCUGAACGGAGAGCUCGUCCUCUUACCAGGUCAAGGUCCCGGAUCCUCGGGUCCCUUGACGCUCUACCCAUGGAGGAAGAGGAGGAAGAGGAUAAGUACAUGUUGGUGAGAAAGAGGAAGACCAUGGACGGCUACAUGAAUGAAGAUGACCUGCCCAGAAGUCGUCGCUCCAGAUCAUCCAUGACCCUUCCACAUAUAAUUCGCCCAGUGGAAGAAAUUACAGAGGAAGAGUUGGAGAACAUCUGCAGCAAUUCUCGAGAGAAGAUAUAUAACCGUUCACUGAACUGGCAUUGCCCGCCUUGUCGAGGAAUCUGCAACUGCAGUUUCUGCCGGCAGCGAGAUGGACGGUGUGCGACUGGGGUCCUUGUGUAUUUAGCCAAAUAUCAUGGCUUUGGGAAUGUGCAUGCCUACUUGAAAAGCCUGAAACAGGAAUUUGAAAUGCAGGCAUAAUAUCUGGAAAAUUGGCUGCCUGCCUUCUACUUCUCAAAUCUUUCUUGUAAAAGUUUCCAAUUUUUUCACUGAAACCUGAGUUAAAAAUCUUGAUGAUCAGCCUGUUUCAUAAGAAACUCCAAUCAAGUUAAUCUUAGCAGACAUGUGUUUCUGGAGCGUCACAGAAGGUAUAUUGCUAGUUACACUUUGCCCUCCUGCAGUUUCUUCUCUGCUCCCAACCCCCAUCUCAUAGCAUCCCCGUCUAUUUCCAAUGCUCCUCUCCAACCGCUUAGUUUGUGAAUUUCUUUUAAAUUACAGUUUUAUGAAAGCAUAUUUUAUUUACUUGGUGUUGAAAUAGCCCUCAUAAAACCUAAGCACUUGGAAACACAAUAACAGUAUUAACUAACUAGAUCUAUUGAAUUUCAGAGAAGAGCCUUCUAACUUGUUUAUACAAAAACGAGUAUGAUUUAGCAUUCAUACCAGUUGAAAUUUUUAAUAGAAUCAAGGCACAAAAGUCUUAAAACCAUGUGGAAAAAUUAGGUAAUUAUUGCAGAUUGAUGCCUCUCAAUCCCUAGUAUUGCGCUUAUGUUACAAGUUGUUGUCACAGUUGAGACUUAAUUUCUCCUAAUUUCUUCUGCCCGAAGGGUAAGUGGUGCGUCCAGCUUACACAAUCAUGAUUCAAAGGUUGGUGGGCAAUGUAAUACUUAAAAUAAUGAUGGAAGAGCUAUCUGGAAAUUAUGAGUAAGCUGAUUUGAAUUUUCAGUAUAAAACUUUAGUAUAAUUGUAGUUUGCAAAGUUUAUUUCAGUUCACAUGUAAGGUAUUGCAAAUAAAUUCUUGGACAAUUUUGUAUGGAAACUUGAUAUUAAAAACUAGUCUGUGGUUCUUUGCAGUUUCUUGUAAAUUUAUAAACCAGGCACAGCGUUCAAGUUUAGAUUUUAAGCACUUUUAUAACAAUAAGUGCCUUUUUGGAGAUGUAACUUUUAGCAGUUUGUUAACCUGACAUCUCUGCCAGUCUAGUUUCUGGGCAGAUUUCCUGUGUCAGUAUUCCCCCUCCUCUUUGCAUUAAUCAAGUUAUUUGGUAGAGGUGGAAUCUAAGUGUUCGUAUGUCCAAUUUACUUGCAUGUGUAAACCAUUCCUGUGCCAUUCAAUGUUUGAUGCAUAAUUGGACCUUGAAUCGAUAAGUGUAAAUACAGCUUUUGAUCUGUAAUGCUUUUAUACAAAAGUUUAUUUUAAUAAUAAAAUGUUUGUUCUAA
rnacentral:sRNA from 1 species